rnacentral:rRNA from 1 species
GAGAUUCCCCCAGUAGCGGCGAGCGAACGGGGAGCAGCCCAGAGCCUGAAUCAGUGUGUGUGUUAGUGGAAGCGUCUGGAAAGGCGCGCGAUACAGGGUGACAGCCCCGUACACAAAAAUGCACAUACUGUGAGCUCGAUGAGUAGGGCGGGACACGUGGUAUCCUGUCUGAAUAUGGGGGGACCAUCCUCCAAGGCUAAAUACUCCUGACUGACCGAUAGUGAACCAGUACCGUGAGGGAAAGGCGAAAAGAA